rnacentral:rRNA from 1 species
GACGAACGCUGGCGGCGUGCUUAACACAUGCAAGUCGAACGGAAAGGCCCUGCUUUUGUGGGGUGCUCGAGUGGCGAACGGGUGAGUAACACGUGAGUAACCUGCCCUUGACUUUGGGAUAACUUCAGGAAACUGGGGCUAAUACCGGAUAGGAGCUCCUGCUGCAUGGUGGGGGUUGGAAAGUUUCGGCGGUUGGGGAUGGACUCGCGGCUUAUCAGCUUGUUGGUGGGGUAGUGGCUUACCAAGGCUUUGACGGGUAGCCGGCCUGAGAGGGUGACCGGCCACAAUGGGACUGAGAUACGGCCCAGACUCCUACGGGAGGCAGCAGUGGGGAAUAUUGCACAGUGGGCGGAAGCCUGAUGCAGAAACGCCGCGUGCGGGAUGACGGCCUUCGGGUUGUAAACCGCUUUCGCCUGUGACGAAGCGUGAGUGACGGUAAUGAGUAAAGAAGCACCGGCUAACUACGUG